AGCCUGGGAGACAGAGCGAGACUCCAUCUCAAAAAAAUAAAAAUAAAUAAAUAAAUAAAAACCUUAGACUUAAAUGGAUCUACAGAAAACCUCGCUAACAUUUUAAAACAUGACAGCUGUAGUGAAAACAUCAGAAUACAUUGGGUCAAAUUAGAUUAAGUUGCAUUACGUGACUCUUGUCAAUAAAAUGCAUUCCAAAAUCUAUGCUAUCUAGUAAAAAUAAGAUCAAGGAAUUCCAAUGUUGUAAUGACAACAAAGUUUUCAAAUAAAAGCCUUCAUGUAUCUUUGAAAAGAGAUUUUAAAAAGCAAAUUGCCCAUUUUUAGUGGGGAGUUGAUUUUUGAUGAGGAAACGUCUCCCAAAUACUAAAGGAAGGCCAACAAGGAAGCAGAAAUGCUGUUCAACUUUACAAGGGGAAAAAUGUAAGCCAUUUCUUUGCUCUCUCCUGAUAUAUAUAUAUGUAUUUUUAAAUAACAUUUUCUCAACUAGCUUAUUUUUUUGGCACACAAAGAAGACUCUCAGUUUCUUUUCAUUCUGUUCGUUAGUUGACAGGACCUCCAGGUAAAAGAAAUGUUUUUAAUAAAAUAUAUUCCCUUACAGUGUGGAGGAGAAGGUAGCUAAGCAAGAAUAAAGGUGUUAUCACUGGCUCCUCUGGGACAUAUAUGAUGUUCACUUUAAUCUAUUUGAUCGUCCCUGAAUUGCUGAUUGCUGCUCUUUUCUCUCCAAGGCACAAAAGGGAAGCUGAAUAUAUUUAUAUAUGUACAUAUGCAGGAUAUACAGGCUGCAGUAGGCAUGCUCAUUGGCUUUCUUUUUUACCUCUCUCUGUUUCUGCCUUUCUUCUCACUGUGAGCUGAAAAAUGGAAGCAAUUUGCUGGAGCCAUUCCUAAAGCUCUCCCACCCGGCACCUUGACUUUUAUAAUUGCUGUGAUAUUUCACCCGAGGCAGCCGAAAUGAGCGGAAACGGCACUUCGCUGGGCACAGAGGAUAAAGCAGAAAUGAGAAAGAGGAGCCUCUUGCUUUCAGGGAGCUCAGAGUCAGAAAGAGGAAACAGCCACAUAAACAAGUAAAUACAACCCCUGCCUUGCUGGCUUGUUAGCUAACAAGCUGCUCAGUUACCGCUAGGUUAGGUACAAGAGCACAGUCAAGUCUUCCCAGCAUUUGCAUUUUCUCGAGUUCCUUUCAGGCUCUCUGAUCUGCAGACUGGAUGUUCAGGGUGCACGUGUUGGUGGAAGCCCUGACUAAACUGACCUUCACAAAAUGAGGACAUUUACUUCUGCCUCCAAAUGUGUGGGGGUCUCCACCUGAGGGUAUGGUCAUCAUUGCAACAAACAUAAAAGCAAAAGGCACAGCUGACACCGGCAAGUGCCCUGUAGGAGAACCUAUGCAUUACUCCAAACUCUGCUCAGGUGUGUAACAAACUUACACUAUUAACAAACUCUGCUCCAAACCCCACUCAGAUAUGUAACAAACUUACAUUUUAACAAGAAAUUUAAGAGAAGUUAUAUUUGAUCUUUACAACAUUGAAAUGUCAGUUCUUUGACAUUUUAUAUUCUGAUUGGAACAGAAAGGAUAUCAUUUAAAAAUAUUGUUUCUUCUACAAUUUAUUAUUAUAGACAGGACAAGCUUCAUAUACUUAAAGAUAUUUAUAAUGCAUAGCGUGUAGUAUUUCAUGUACUAAGGUUCACUCUUUACAAUGUCUUAUGCUAUGUUUUAUUCACGUCAGGUGUUUACAAUCAUAUUUUCUAUUUGUUUUUAAUUUUUGUUCUACAGAUGAUGUUUUGCUUUAGCAUGAACUUCUAAGACCUGCCCUCACGUUCCUCCAUUUCCAGUUAAUAAAGCGGUGAGCAUUUCCAAAACAAAGCAAAGAGACCACGUGACUUAUGUAAUGUAGUGGGACACAUUUAUUAUGUAGAUUAUAUUGAGGGAUUUCAGUAUGUAAUAGAAAGUGCAUAGACUUGGAAAUAAAAAAAAAUUUGAUUUCA